CUUGUACAUAGUAGAUUGUUCAUUGUUUUUACUGUACCCAACACAUUAUGCUCCGAGAGUCUCACUGACCAACGCAGACAUAAGCUGCAGAGUAAUGAAAGGGUUUAUUGUAUGUGGAUAUUGUGCACCUUAUUUCCAUCUGCAACUCGAUUUAGCUGCUACAUGUGAAACAAUCCUCCCUUGCAUUUAUAAACUGGAAAUUUCAAGCAUUUAAAAUCCAUCUACAGAAACCGGCUGAGCUGGAGAUGUUCAUUAGGAAAGC